rnacentral:rRNA from 1 species
CAAAUUAGAGCUUAGUAAGCAUUUUAUUUACAUUAAAAAGUUAAUUGUUAAAAUCAAUUUAGUUUGAAUUUAAUAAUUUAUAUUAUUUAAAAGUUAGUUUUAAGAUUUAAUAAAAGUAUUUUAUUUUUUUUUAAUUUUAUUGAUAAAAUUAAAUAUAAUUAUAGAUUAUUAGUAUAGUGAUAGAAAAUUGAAAUAAUUUGAAAAUUUAAAUAUUUAUAAGAAAAAAUAAUUUUUUGUACCUUGUGUAUCAGGGUUUAUUAAUUAAUAGUUAUAAAUAAUAAUUUUCUCGAAUUUUAAAGAGUUAAAAAGCUAUAAAUUUUAUUGUGAAAUAAAUAUUUAGGAUAGUUUUUUAGUAAUGAAACGUUAGUCGUUUUUGAGGAUAUCUAGUUUUUUGAGAAAUAAAUUUAAUUUAGUUAAUUAUUUUAAUUUAAUUUUAUUAAUAUAAUAUUAUUAAAUAAUUAAUUAAUAUUUUAAGGGUUAAGCUUUAAAAUAAAAUUUUAUAAAUUUUAAUUUAGAAAAGGUAUAUUAUUUAGAAUUAAAAGUUUUUAUAAUUUAAUGUGUUAUAACUAAGUUUAUCUUAAUUUAGAUUUUUAUUAAUUUUAAGUUUUUUAUCAAAAUAAUUUAAUUAAUAUUAUAUUAUAUGUAAUAAUGAUAAAAUUAGUAUAAUUUUAUGUAAUUUUAAUUUUAAAGUUAAGGUUAAAUUAAGGAACUCGGCAAAUAAAUUUUUCGCCUGUUUAUUAAAAACAUGUCUUUUUGAUUAUAAUUUAAAGUCUAACCUGCCCAAUGAAUUAUUCAAUGGCCGCAGUAUUUUAACUGUGCGAAGGUAGCAUAAUAAUUAGUUUUUUAAUUGAGAACUGGUAUGAAUGGUUGGACGAGAAAAUAACUGUCUCAAUUUAAUUUUAAUUAGAAUUUUAUUUUUAAGUUAAAAAGCUUAAAUUUUUUUAAAAGACGAGAAGACCCUAUAGAGUUUUAUAUUAAAUUUAUGCUUUAUAUAUAAAGUAUUUUUUAUAUUUUAUAUAAAUUUAGUAUUUUAUUGGGGUGAUAUAAAAAUUAAAAAAACUUUUUAUUUUUUUUUACAUUGAUAUAUGAUUUUAUGAUCCAUUUUUUAUGAUUAAAAGAUUAAAUUACCUUAGGGAUAACAGCGUAAUUUUUUUUUAGAGUUCUUAUCGAAAAAAAAGUUUGCGACCUCGAUGUUGGAUUAAAAUAAACUUUUGGCGCAGUAGCUAUAUAGGUUGGGUCUGUUCGACCUUUAAAAUUUUACAUGAUCUGAGUUUAAACCGGUGUAAGCCAGGUUGGUUUCUAUCUUUAAAUAAUUAAGAUAUUUUAGUACGAGAGGACCAAAUAUUUAUAAAUUUUGUUUUAUUUAUUGAAUAAUAUUAAUUAUUAGG